GAAAUUCACAUCAACCAAAUUCAUCCAGAGAAGGUCUUGCUGCUGCUGAACUACCUGACAGUCUACAAGAGAAAGACAGAGCCAUCCAAGUACGAGUUACAGUACCGCUCAGGGGAGAACAGAGAUGAUCUUCAGAUCAUGGAUUUUCUUCCACCUGCCAGCAAAACCCGGCUACCAUUUCAUCCCCUUGUGAGCGGGGAACCAUGGAAAAUUAUUACUCCUGAGUUAACAAAAGAAACUGUGGGCACCUGGCUCAACAUAGCGCCUCUUCUGCAUCUGGACCGUGACCAGUUGUAUCUGAUGACAAUCAACAACAUGGUCAAGCGGCAUGUUGGGGUGGUGAAGAAAUCGGGUCACCAGCCCGGGAGUAGUGCAGUGGAUAAGGCCCAGUGGAACUGGGAAAUGAAGGAGGCCAACACAGAACUCCUUUGUGAUGUCCAGGAGCUGCUGAAAGAGGUGUCAAACUGUGAGACUGCACUGGUGUGUGCCAAGUGGAUGGUGGCAGAGUUACCGCUUGGUGCAGAAAAGGUGUUGGCGCUGAGGGGAUGUUUGACAUUUGCUGAGCUCUGGUACAAGUCUUUGUCUGAUGAUAACCCUUCAAAAGAAAAGGCAAAAGGAGCGUACAAAAAGUUCCUAGGAGCUUACCAGCGCCUGGCCACAGAACAAAUCUUGUUUGUGAACAAAGUGGGAGAACCGGACCUGGUUCAGAUGGCGGGAAAUCCUGCCAAACUGAUUCCUAAACUGUACGAGCACCAGAGCAUUACCCAGACAGAUCCUGGACUACCCAGGCCAGAUAUUCACAAAGUGGCUGAAGAGAUUGCCGCAGUGACCAACAUUGACCUUCACAAGGUCAGACUGACCCUCAUCAGCCAAUGGCUGCCUUCCUCAGCAUCCAAACAGUCGGAUGGAGAAUCGACUGUAACCUUUAAUUUUGAAAAUCUCAAACUUGCUGAGCAAAGCAUGUUAAAUGAUGCAGAAGAUGAGCAUAUAAACCUAAAAAGAGUGCUCUAUCUACUUCAACAAGGAUCAACAGAAGAAAAUGUUACUUUUCUCCUUAACUUUGUGUUUGAGAAUCAGAAUACGGGUGAACUGACCUCAGUGACCAAUAUGUGUAAGAUGCGAGCUCUCCACUGCCUGUUAGAGCUACGCCAAGAUGAAGUUGUACAAAAGUUGUGUGGAAGAACCAUUGAGGACCUGAGGUACCUGUGGAAGACUACCAACUACUUGAUAGCCCUUGAGAAACUGCACAUCUUGCACUCUGUGGAAACAUUCGAGUCGUCUAACAAGGAGGGACUGAUUAAGGGAAUCUGGAGAAACCACAGCCAUCAGAAGUCGGCCUCGAUGCUAGUUGCAGGGUUGUGUUUGGACUAUAAGAUUUAUGACAUACAGAUCUGGAAUGGGGUACUACAACAGCUUGUUCACUUUGGUUUGAUGGAGAAGUUGGAGUAUGUCCUAGGUCGACUGAAUGCUGCCCCAGAAGUGUGGCAGGCUCCCAUGUUCCCUAAGGCCUGGCAAACUCUGCUGGUCACUCCUCUUACCAAAGUGGUUGCCCCUUUGACAGAGGACCAACUAGACACCUGUGUUCAUAUUUUCAACUGGAUAUCCAAGUGCCCUGUGCUGAUGGCACAGAGAUUGUGUCGGUUAUGAUGAAGCUGUACAUUAAGCUGGAGCUUCCACUGUGUGCCUUUGCCAGUUUACUCCUGUCAGAUAACUCAGAGAAAGAACGACAGGAGAUCUUGGGGCAACACAAACUUGGUUUACUGAAAGACAGUGACCGACUGAUGAAACAUGGGAUGUCUGCAGUAGUGAUAAAGAAGGUGGAGGAGUCCAUCUUUCAGUACCUCCUGGACACAGAAGAGUUCCAGGAAGUGUCGGUAUCCUCUCUGUCCAAGCUCUUCUUUAAGUUUGCUGUAGAAAACAACAACAUUGAUGGCAUUCUGCAGUUUGCAGUCAGGCAUAAAAAAAUUAAAGAAGCUGUAUCAUUAUUGAAAAUGUUGUGUUCCCAUAAUGCACUUCUAUCAAAGAGACUGGAAUCUUACAAGGAGGAGUCUAUGCUGAAGAAAUAUCUAGAAAUGCAAGGACUGGUAGAAGUGAGAGGUAUGAUAUAAAACAUGUGAUACGGAACAUGAAAUCGCAGGCGUGUGAAACUUAUAGAACUGUACUGUGCAAUAAAUUCUUUAUUGUUGUUUUGUGUAUUCUUGUGGUUUGGUGGUGCUUGAACCACCUUAAUUAGAACCGAAGACAUGUUUAUGUACAUGAUUUAAAAUAAAUGUAUCAAUUGUU
rnacentral:misc_RNA from 1 species